rnacentral:tRNA from 7 species
GGGGGAUUAGCUCAGUUGGGAGAGCGCUUGCAUGGCAUGCAAGAGGUCAUCGGUUCAAGUCCGUUAUCCUCCA